CCUAGCCAAGUGUAUCUGCAAUUUUUCUUUCUUUGCCUGUUUACAUCAAACUCAACCCAAGUAUACCUGCAGUACUUAUUUUGUUAGUUGGUAAUUAUAACAUUAGCUUCAGUUGCAGUCUGUUCCAGUUGAUGGCAAACUUUCGCAAGGGAGAUCAAAAGUUACAAUUUAGCAUUUGACUGGUGAAGCCAAACCUGGAGAGAUGAAAGGUAGGGAUAACAUCCCUGCUGGUGCAAGUAAUUUGUAUGUAUGAUGAUAGUGAAGGCGACGAAAACAUGGAAUGAGUCAACAUUAAACAGGAUUGACCAGUAGAGGAAUGGAGAAGUAUGCACAUGGGGAUUAAGUAGGUAAGUCCUUCUGCUCGAAUGUGUCCUAAAAACCAUCACUAAUGUCCAGCAGCUUUAGAGACCUGGUGACAGGCCUGUCACAUGUGUGCAAUCACUCUCGAAAAUCUCAGUUUCUAUGUUUUGGAUAUCAUUUUGGAGGAUGCUGCAGUCUAAAUCCUUUUGUUGGAAUCAUCCAACUAUAUUGUUUCUAUGUUUUGGAUAUCAUUUUGGAGGAUGCUGCAGUCUAAAUACUUUUAUAGGAAUCAUCCAACUAUAUUGGUAAGUGGGGAAGACUUAUAUCUCAAUUUUCUCAGAAUCAACACCAGCAUAUUUCUGGUACUAAAUUCACGAUCGGUCAAAUUUUUGUUGAGACUUCUGCAUCCAAAUCUCCUGCUGACAAGAAGGCUAAACUGAGUACGUCCCAAAAAUCUGAAGAGAACGGAGAAUAACAUGAAGAACAGGGAACUCAGGAAGAAGAGGUUAUUGAGGUCGAAGCUGACUCCACAGAUAUGAGCAAUAAGUGACAGUUAAGAAGCUAUACUUGUUUGAGCAUGCAGGUAAUGAAUGAUGUUGAGUUUGUCUCCAGGUCUUGUGCCUUUAAGAUUUGUAUCUACUACUGUUAUUACACUUAACAUUAC